UGCAACGCGAAGAACCUUACCUGGUCUUGACAUCCACAGAACUUUCCAGAGAUGGAUUGGUGCCUUCGGGAACUGUGAGACAGGUGCUGCAUGGCUGUCGUCAGCUCGUGUUGUGAAAUGUUGGGUUAAGUCCCGCAACGAGCGCAACCCUUAUCCUUUGUUGCCAGCGGUCCGGCCGGGAACUCAAAGGAGACUGCCAGUGAUAAACUGGAGGAAGGUGGGGAUGACGUCAAGUCAUCAUGGCCCUUACGACCAGGGCUACACACGUGCUACAAUGGCGCAUACAAAGAGAAGCGACCUCGCGAGAGCAAGCGGACCUCAUAAAGUGCGUCGUAGUCCGGAUUGGAGUCUGCAACUCGACUCCAUGAAGUCGGAAUCGCUAGUAAUCGUGGAUCAGAAUGCCACGGUGAAUACGUUCCCGGGCCUUGUACACACCGCCCGUCACACCAUGGGAGUGGGUUGCAAAAGAAGUAGGUAGCUUAACCUUCGGGAGGGCGCUUACCACUUUGUGAUUCAUGACUGGGGUGAAGUCGUAACAAGGUAACCGUAGGGGAACCUGCGGUUGGAUCAC
rnacentral:rRNA from 1 species